ensembl:lncRNA
GGGGGCUCCCCAGCGAGAAGAAAUGUUGACCAUGCAAAGUUAAAAAUACCAUGUUGCGUCUGAAUGGUCAAAACCUCAGGCUGGCGGCUAAAAAUGGCCUCGAUUCCAAAACACCUGCCCCCCAUUUGUCAGCAACCCGCGGGAGGGAGACGGCGGGUCGGCUUACGGCCUCGCUGCUGCCCACGUCCCCCGGGCCUGACUCCCGGAGGCCCCCCAGACGCCCCCCGAAGCUCGCCCCGCUGGAGCUGCCAGAGGCGGUGAGGGAGUCCCAGAGGCGGAAACUUCAGCUCAUCCAGCAGGAGGCCAAACCGGCUUCCUGUCAGCUGGACGCGACGGGGGCCGACACCUGCGCGGGGGAGGUAAAAUCCUGCGUGGGACGGAAACCGGAAAAAGCUGCAGGUCGCCCCGCUGCCUCCGCCGAGAGACACGCACCUUCGAGGAGAUCGCAAGGCCCGGGAGAGGAUAAGUGCAAUUCACUCACUUCGACCGGGGGAUUAUCUGCAGAUAAAGGCGAGCUGGCCCAAGGUGUCCAAGGCGAAGGGAAGAAGGCAGAGAGGGCUGGAAAAGCCAUCAGAGAGCCUCCUGCAGCCCACCGGGAGCGAGGAGGCCGUAUCAGGGAAAGCCAUCAAGAGGACUGCAGGCAGCCAUGUGCUCCGACCGGACAGACGAAGGUGGGAGCGGUGAACAUCCGCUCGACGGUGCGAAGCCGAGUGCUUCUAAUUGUGGAUUAAAGAAGAAAACGUGAUCUCAAAGCACAACAGCGCUUUCCCUCUGGAACGUCUCCAACUGUAAUUCGAUUGGAUCUUUCACUUUUGCAGCUCGGGACUUUAUUAAAUGAUGUCAUGCUCAGAGAUGGUCCGCCAGAAACAGGCUUAACAUCCCAGUUUGGCAGCUGAUUUAUAGUCUAAGUUACUCAGCAGAUGAAAAGCCUCAUGUGGGAAUCAGAAAGGGCUGCUGUAUUUAUACACUGCUGUACACACACAAACAACGGCAGCAAAUGGCUUCGAACAGUUUAAUGUGCAAUUAUUUAAUUUCACCAGAUUUGACUUCAGAAAUGGGCCCAUAUUGAAAUAGCAACGCAGGCAACACAUCGCUGGCAGGAAGCCGGAUGAUUUGGAGUUUGUAGAGCUGACUUUCCCUCGUGUUCCCAAACAACAUUUCAUAAUGACGUGCUCCAUAAUAACAUUUCAUGAAAGUGUAGCAGCUCUAUCUUGUGCAAUUUGUUAUUUCCCAAACCUUCUGCCCUAGAUAAGACUGUGUAAUGAUUCAAUGCACGGAACAAAGUAAAGCUGCUGGCACAUCACAGAGAGUUACAUCGGCCAAGAUGACCCUCAGAGAAAAUAGUUUGGACCGAUGAGUUAAACAACAGCCGACAAUGACCAUCCUUACUUUCAUCAGUCAAAUGUUACAAUGAAUGUACAAUAAUUAAAGA